AAGUCGUAACAAGGUUUCCGUAGGUGAACCUGCGGAAGGAUCAUUAACACGUAUCCACGUAUCAACCAACUGUGAACUUGUUUUCAACUCUCCCUGCCUGACUACAUGAAUUGAAUGAAAAGAGACUAUGAAAUGGGGAGUACGCUUCAUUGCGAUUCCAAUCUCGAUUCAUAAAUUGACACACUUCAUUGUGUGCCUAACAAUUGUAGUAGUUUAUGGUCAGGUCAACCCUUUCUACUUGUAAGUUUCUCCUUUCAUGGAACUUUCGAGUGGGAAAAUCAACACACCUAUUUCACCCCCUUUUUGCUAGUUGACUUUUAUAUGUUGUUUUUUCUGCUGCUUAAUUGCACGGAGGAUUCACACGUUUAUUAUUUGAACGUUAAAAUUACAACUCUUAGCAAUGGAUAUCUUGGUUCUC
rnacentral:misc_RNA from 1 species